GGGCGGGUGGUAUAGGGGUAUUACGUCGCAGGUCCUUUACGGGUGUCUUCAUGGCCCCGUGUUACUUGAGUAAUUUCAGCUUGCGGAAGGUGCGGGGUUCGAAUCCCCGGUCGUCCA